CAAAGACGCACAGAGUUUGAAGGCAGAAACUCAAACAGGAUGUUCCAGUGACGAGAACCAUUCAGCGCUGGUCCGACCAAUCGGAAGCCACGCUUCAAGGUUGUUUUGAUCACGUGUCCUGGAAUAUGUUCCGGUUAGCCUCAGAGAACAACAUUGACCUAUACGCUGAGUCGUACAGGUAAACUGAUCCCAUCCACACCAGAGACCGUAUUCAUGAUUCCACUGGGAGCAAUCAGAGAUCUGGGGUAUCCCUUCGGUCACAAUGGCCUUGCACAGGACAAUACACAAAAUAUUAAAGCCCCCUCUGCAUAAGAGGUAUAGGUCAACAUGUGUCACCUUGACAACAUGAUCCUGGGGGGCAUAGAUGACCCAGUGGUAGUCAGAGUUGUUGCUGUAGGAUUGUGGGUAGUUGAAACUCUGAACGGCCCUCUGAUCCUGGACUAGUGCCACGGUGCCACAUCCCGACGCUGCACAAACACAA
ensembl:lncRNA